UACAGAGGGGGCAAGCGUUGUUCGGAAUUACUGGGCGUAAAGGGCGCGUAGGCGGCCUUCUAAGUCAGACGUGAAAUCCCCGGGCUCAACCCGGGAACUGCGUCUGAUACUGGAAGGCUUGAAUCCGGGAGAGGGAUGUGGAAUUCCAGGUGUAGCGGUGAAAUGCGUAGAUAUUGCUCGGAAGGCCAGAGCCGAAGGGGCCCUACUGGUGCGCAACUGACACUGAGGCACGAAAGCGUGGGGAUCAAACAGG
rnacentral:rRNA from 1 species